GACGAACGCUGGCGGCGUGCUUAACACAUGCAAGUCGAGCGGUAAGGCCCUUUCGGGGGUACACGAGCGGCGAACGGGUGAGUAACACGUGGGUGACCUGCCCUCAGCUCUGGGAUAAGCCUGGGAAACCGGGUCUAAUACUGGAUAUGACUCCAUGACGCAUGUUGUGGGGUGGAAAGCCUUGUGCGGCUGAGGGUGGGCCCGCGGCCUAUCAGCUUGUUGGUGGGGUGAUGGCCUACCAAGGCGACGACGGGUAGCCGGCCUGAGAGGGCGACCGGCCACACUGGGACUGAGACACGGCCCAGACUCCUACGGGAGGCAGCAGUGGGGAAUCUUGCGCAAUGGGCGAAAGCCUGACGCAGCGACGCCGCGUGAGGGAUGACGGCCUCGGUU
rnacentral:rRNA from 1 species